rnacentral:lncRNA from 1 species
AGAAGAGAUGUGAAUACUUUCAUCCCUGGACCUCCAGUGGAGAAGGCUGCGUGUCCUUCAGAGAAACCCGGCCUUUGUUCCAUACAGCAAGGAGUUAUAGGAUGGAGGAACAAAGAAUCUUUGGAGAGUAGCUGAUUCCUUGUCUUAGGCUGAGGAAAAAUCGACAUGGAUUUGAAAAUCUUAUUUUUGCUGGAAAUCAAGAGUGCUUUCAGAAAAUCUCAAAGAGUACAAAAAGGCUGGAACACAGAUGCACAGUGACCCAAGUUCUGUCACAUAGCAAUGGACAAUACCCUAGUCCUUGGAGAAGAGAGGAACUCAUAUCCCUGAAUGGCCUUGUGGAAGAGCUGCCCUGUUAGCUGGAGCAGGUGGAAUGUCAUCUGAGAAAGAAAUAUACCCGUAUCUUAAUUUAAGCCGUUGUAUUUUCAGAUCUCUUUGCUUUUACCCUUAAAAAUAUA